rnacentral:rRNA from 1 species
UACGAAGGGGGCUAGCGUUGCUCGGAAUCACUGGGCGUAAAGCGCACGUAGGCGGAUUUCUAAGUCAGGGGUGAAAUCCUGGAGCUCAACUCCAGAACUGCCUUUGAUACUGGGAAUCUCGAGUCCGGGAGAGGUGAGUGGAACUGCGAGUGUAGAGGUGAAAUUCGUAGAUAUUCGCAAGAACACCAGUGGCGAAGGCGGCUCACUGGCCUGGUACUGACGCUGAGGUGCGAAAGCGUGGGGAGCAAACAGG